UACAAGAACAACAACAGAGCGAUGCGUGGAGUCGGCUUCCUCGUCGAGCGCUGCGGCAUGACAAGGACAACCAUAAGAACAUUCAACAUCAUCCAGAAGAACCAUUCUAUUUCCCCAAAGCAAAAAAAAGACAACACAAAAACAAAAAUGAAAGCAAAACACAAACAACACA